AGUACAGAGGCUCUAAUAAGACUCUCCUGCAUCCUUCUUUCUUCCUGGAAAUUACAUUAGACAGUUUCCCCAAUGCGUGUCCCAUGGAACACCAGUCCCUCCUGCCGUUUUCUCGGAACCAGGCAAGAAGGGGUUCUGUGAAUGAGCUUCCACCAAGAAUUCCUAAAACAGGCUUCCACAGAGCCCCUCAGGGAAAACACUGGCUCAAGCAACAGCCCUAAUCCUUUUCUAAGGCACAGAGGAAGUGGCCACAAACAUUUAGCUCUCUGGAGUCACUGCAAGAGACUGUGAGAGCUGGCACUGGGUUGGGAGGGGGUGGCCAAGAAACCACCUGGCUCAGGGACCAUGGGCUGCGCACGGCCAAGGGGCUACUGUUUCUAAUCAGCAGGUGAUCAAAUAUUAAGGGUCAGGAGCAGGGACAGAAAGGGAGGUGCAGCUCCUCCCUAAUGAGGCCUGGAUGAUUGUCAGUGGCUUGGCAGAGGGCCCUGAGCCCUGGGUGGACGCAGCCCUAAGCCAUGAGUAGCAUCACCCGUGUCACUGCCACGACAGGAUCUGCAGGCCCCAUCCGUUAGGAAUAAGGAGCAACCUCUAGGCCUGCUUCUCAGACCUCUUCUUGCUUCUCAUGGGGAGAAUCAGGUCAUGCACUCAUCUCUAGAUCAGUCACUGGCAAGGAAAAUUAGAUAAACUCAACCAGCUCAGUCCCAUCAGGAUUUGCUCCUGACUUACCUCCAUGGAGCACAGAUACCAGGAUGGGGAGACUGGAUUUGACAUUGGCAGCCAACAGAGUCUGCAGUGCCAAUCAAGGCAGCCUGAUCCAAGGGUGAUGCUCUCAUUCAUUCAUUCAUUCAUUCAUCCACUUGCCAAACACAUUCUAGGGCCAAGCUCUGUCCUAGGUGAGAAGCUACAA
rnacentral:lncRNA from 1 species